AGAAUCAACGCUGGCGGCGUGCCUCAGACAUGCAAGUCGAACGCGAAAGUCCCCUUCGGGGGGCAAGUAGAGUGGCGCACGGGUGAGUAACACGUAGGUAGUCUACCUUCGGAUGGGGAAUAACAAUCGGAAACGGUUGCUAAUACCGCAUAAUGCAGCGGCACCUAAUGGUGACAGUUGUUAAAGCGGGGGAUCGAAAGACCUCGCGUCUGAAGAGGAGCCUGCGGCGGAUUAGCUAGUUGGUAAGGUAACGGCUUACCAAGGCGACGAUCCGUA
rnacentral:rRNA from 1 species